GGACAGGUAUCGAAGUGGUCAUAACGGGGCUGACUCGAAAUCAGUUUGUCGGUAUUCAAUCCGGCACGUGGGUUCGAAUCCCACCCUGUCCGCCA
rnacentral:tRNA from 1 species